rnacentral:snoRNA from 1 species
AUACCUUGAUGUGGGCAUUUCCUAAGCAAUGCCUUGAAGCUUUCCCACGCUUCAUAUAAAUUCUUGCCUUCAAAUUUCUUGAAAUUAGAAAUUCACGCCU